UGGGGAAUAUUGCACAAUGGGCGCAAGCCUGAUGCAGCCAUGCCGCGUGUAUGAAGAAGGCCUUCGGGUUGUAAAGUACUUUCAGCGGGGAUGAAGGGAGUAAAGUUAAUACCUUUGCACAUUGACGUUACCCGCAGAAGAAGCACCGGCUAACUCCGUGCCAGCAGCCGCGGUAAUACGGAGGGUGCAAGCGUUAAUCGGAAUUACUGGGCGUAAAGCGCACGCAGGCGGUUUGUUAAGUCAGAUGUGAAAUCCCCGGGCUCAACCUGGGAACUGCAUCUGAUACUGGCAAGCUUGAGUCUCGUAGAGGGGGGUAGAAUUCCAGGUGUAGCGGUGAAAUGCGUAGAGAUCUGGAGGAAUACCGGUGGCGAAGGCGGCCCCCUGGACGAAGACUGACGCUCAGGUGCGAAAGCGUGGGGAGCAAACA
rnacentral:rRNA from 1 species